AACGUAGGAGGCGAGCGUUAUCCGGAUUUACUGGGUGUAAAGCGCGUGCAGGCGGUCGUGUAAGUGGUGCGUGAAAGCUCCCGGCUCAACCGGGAGAGGACGUGCCAAACUGCAGGGCUAGAGGCAGGUAGAGGCGUGUGGAAUUCCGGGUGUAGUGGUGAAAUGCGUAGAGAUCCGGAGGAACACCAGUGGCGAAGGCGACACGCUGGGCCUGGCCUGACGCUCAGACGCGAAAGCAUGGGGAGCGAAC
rnacentral:rRNA from 2 species